GACGAACCGUCCAAACGUUAUUCGGAAUCACUGGGCUUAAAGGGUGCGCAGGCGGCGCGGCAAGUUGGAUGUGAAAGCCCUCGGCUCAACCGAGGAAUUGCGUCCAAAACUGCCGUGCUUGAGUGAGGCAGAGGUGAGCGGAACUUAGGGUGGAGCGGUGAAAUGCGUUGAUAUCCUAAGGAACACCGGUGGCGAAAGCGGCUCACUGGGCCUCAACUGACGCUCAUGCACGAAAGCUAGGGUAGCGAACGGGAUUAGAUACCCUGGUA
rnacentral:rRNA from 1 species